rnacentral:rRNA from 1 species
UACACAUGCAAGUUCGAACGAUGAAGCCCUUCGGGGUGGAUUAGUGGCGAACGGGUGAGUAACACGUGGGCAAUCUGCCCUUCACUCUGGGACAAGCCCUGGAAACGGGGUCUAAUACCGGAUAACACUCCUGCCCGCAUGGGUGGGGGUUGAAAGCUCCGGCGGUGAAGGAUGAGCCCGCGGCCUAUCAGCUUGUUGGUGAGGUAGAAGCUCACCAAGGCGACGACGGGUAGCCGGCCUGAGAGGGCGACCGGCCACACUGGGACUGAGACACGGCCCAGACUCCUACGGGAGGCAGCAGUGGGGAAUAUUGCACAAUGGGCGAAAGCCUGAUGCAGCGACGCCGCGUGAGGGAUGACGGCCUUCGGGUUGUAAACCUCUUUCAGCAGGGAAGAAGCGAAAGUGACGGUACCUGCAGAAGAAGCGCCGGCUAACUACGUGCCAGCAGCCGCGGUAAUACGUAGGGCGCAAGCGUUGUCCGGAAUUAUUGGGCGUAAAGAGCUCGUAGGCGGUCUGUCACGUCGGAUGUGAAAGCCCGGGGCUUAACCCCGGGUCUGCAUUCGAUACGGGCAGACUAGAGUGUGGUAGGGGAGAUCGGAAUUCCUGGUGUAGCGGUGAAAUGCGCAGAUAUCAGGAGGAACACCGGUGGCGAAGGCGGAUCUCUGGGCCAUUACUGACGCUGAGGAGCGAAAGCGUGGGAGCGAACAGGAUUAGAUACCCUGGUAGU